rnacentral:rRNA from 1 species
CAUGCGUAUAGCAUGCCGGUGCCCCGCCCGCCCGCUCCUGGCCUUCUGGGGCCACGUCCCGCAGCGCACCAGGCGCUGAUCGCCGUGCCCCAGGCGUCGUACGCCGCGCCUCCAGCAGCGCCGUACGCCGCGCCAUCUCCAGGCGCCUACGCCAUGGCGCCCUACACCGCCCCGCCGCCGGUGCCCUAUGCCGCGGCGCCAUAUGCCGCACUGCCACCGUCGGCGCCGCCGCUCCUGCCGGCUCCAUGGGAUCCGUCCCUUCUCGCGGCGCUCCAAUCCGCCCCCUCACCAGCCAACUACACGGGUGGCGGCGAUUGGUACAUGGAUAGUGGCGCCACCUCUCAUAUGGCUGCCAACCCCGGUACUCUCCACUCCUCAUAUCCUGUUCAUACCUCCAAUCGUAUUACUGUUGGCAAUGGGUCAUCUCUUCCUAUCAUGCACAUAGGCCAUGCUUACUUUCCGUCCACAUCUACACCGAUUUCAUUAUCUAACAUACUUGUCUCUCCCGAACUCAUUACUAAUCUUGUUUCCGUUCGUUCCCUUACUCGUGAUAACCCUGUCACCGUUGAAUUUGACAUGUGUGGUUUUUCUGUCAAGGACGCCCGUACCCGGAUGGUGCUCCACCGAUGUGAUAGCCCCGACGAGCUCUACCCAGUCCACCCACCCGCCUCCACCUCCACCUCUCCGGUCGCCCUCUCCGUCGGUGUGGAUCUUUGGCACGCUCGCUUGGGACAUCCGAACGACACCACCCUUCGUCAUAUUCUUCGGAGUUUUUCUUUCACUUGUAAUAAGACCGACGGUCACACUUGUCAUGCGUGUCGUCUAGGUAAACAUACUCGGCUUCCUUUUAGCACUUCCUCGUCAGUUGCAUCGUAUCCGUUUGAACUACUUCAUAGUGAUGUGUGGACUUCUCCAGUUGCGAGUAAUACCGGCUACACCUAUUAUCUUGUCAUUUUAGAUGAUUUUUCGCACUAUGUGUGGACCUUCCCGUUGCGGCGGAAAUCCGAUGUCAUAUCCAUUCUUACCGCCUUUUACUCCUAUGUCACCACCCAGUUUGGUCGCCCCAUCCACGCUAUCCAAACCGACAACGGGAAGGAGUUCGACAACCUCGCGGUUCGCACCCUCCUCACCACACAUGGCACGAUAUUUCGUCUCACUUGUCCCUAUACCUCGCAACAAAAUGGGCGCGCAGAACGGGUCUUACGCACUCUUAACGAUUGUGUCCGCACCUUGUUAUUUCAUGCUAAUGUGCCACCCCGCUUCUGGCCCGAUGCACUUGCCACCGCAUCCCGCGUCAUCAACAUUCGGCCUUGCCGCGUCCGCGGCAACUUUGCACCACACCACUUGCUUUUCGGGAGCCCCCCAUCCUACGACGAUCUUCGCAUCUUCGGGUGCCUCUGCUAUCCCAGCAUCGCCUCUACCACCCCUCAUAAGCUCGCUCCUCGCUCUCUUGCGUGCGUCUUCUUGGGUUACCCUGCCAACACCAAGGGCUACCGCUGCUACGACCCUGUUUCUCAUCGUGUCUUCACCUCUAGACAC